AGAUAAGGGAAGGGCAGCCCACUCUGUUUGAAGAGAAUGCAAAAGGCCAUCCAGCCUUAAACCCCUGAGAUUAGGGGCAAUAUUUACUAAAGUCCGGUAGAUGCGCCUUUAACCUGAUGGCCAGGACGUGCUCCAAAGUCCCGAGUCCUGCAGCCCACGAGGACUCCCCGCUCCCGCCCUUCACUUCAAAGCUGGUUACCGCGCAGUGCUUUACGUUUAGAAACCAUGUGAGUCACCGCCUUGAGACAUAACACUACAGGCACCAGAUAAAUGCGGACAGAGGCUUGAAUGCGGAUCCACCGAUGUUAACCUCUACUUGGCAAACAUCAGGUGAGUCACUGGAACCAUUUUAUGUCUUUACUGUGGAAAGCCUCCAGCCCAGAAGGCUCAUUUGGAAGCCGUCUCUGAUGCCAGGCACUCCGAAGCAGCAAUAAUAAGUAGCGGGUAUCUCGUUACCAACUUCUUGCUCAUUGACCUGAUUUCUCUCAAAGAACAGGGGAGGAGGAACCUACAAAGGCUGGUAAAAGGUAAAAAGAGGCAACACCAAUAAAACAUUGACAUUGAACAACACUCUUUAUUAUUAUGGAGAGAAUGUCUCAAUCUUUGCAGACGGAUCGAGCAUUUUCUGCUCUUGCCCUGUCCAGCUCUUUGAGUUUAUGUCACGAUCACAGACUUUUCUUGGGUUUCUCAGCCCUAUCCUCCUUUAUGAGUUUGUUCCUACCUAGCUACUACAAUUUUUAUCGCCUGAUAGUAAAAAAAAAAAAAAAAAAAAA